rnacentral:rRNA from 1 species
UGCAGUUCGAGCGGUAGCACAGAGAGCUUGCUCUCGGGUGACGAGCGGCGGACGGGUGAGUAAUGUCUGGGAAACUGCCUGAUGGAGGGGGAUAACUACUGGAAACGGUAGCUAAUACCGCAUAACGUCGCAAGACCAAAGAGGGGGACCUUCGGGCCUCUUGCCAUCAGAUGUGCCCAGAUGGGAUUAGCUAGUAGGUGGGGUAACGGCUCACCUAGGCGACGAUCCCUAGCUGGUCUGAGAGGAUGACCAGCCACACUGGAACUGAGACACGGUCCAGACUCCUACGGGAGGCAGCAGUGGGGAAUAUUGCACAAUGGGCGCAAGCCUGAUGCAGCCAUGCCGCGUGUAUGAAGAAGGCCUUCGGGUUGUAAAGUACUUUCAGCGGGGAGGAAGGUGUUGUGGUUAAUAACCACAGCAAUUGACGUUACCCGCAGAAGAAGCACCGGCUAACUCCGUGCCAGCAGCCGCGGUAAUACGGAGGGUGCAAGCGUUAAUCGGAAUUACUGGGCGUAAAGCGCACGCAGGCGGUCUGUCAAGUCGGAUGUGAAAUCCCCGGGCUCAACCUGGGAACUGCAUUCGAAACUGGCAGGCUAGAGUCUUGUAGAGGGGGGUAGAAUUCCAGGUGUAGCGGUGAAAUGCGUAGAGAUCUGGAGGAAUACCGGUGGCGAAGUUA